CACGGGGGGAGCAAGCGUUGUUCGGAAUCACUGGGCGUAAAGGGCGUGUAGGUGGCCAACUAAGUCAGACGUGAAAUCCCUCGGCUUAACCGGGGAACUGCGUCUGAUACUGGAUGGCUUGAGUUCGGGAGAGGGAUGCGGAAUUCCAGGUGUAGCGGUGAAAUGCGCAGAGAUCGGGAGGAACACCCGUAGCGAAGGCGGCACUCUGGGCCGGUACUGACGCUGAGGAGCGAAAGCGUGGGGAGCAAACAGG
rnacentral:rRNA from 1 species